rnacentral:lncRNA from 1 species
CCGUAGCCGUACUGCGGGGGCGGGGCGCCGUAGGGAGCGCCUGUGCUGGGCCCGGCGGCGGCCGCUGGGUAGGCCGUCACUGGCUCGCCUGCCUUCGCUGGCUUUCCUGACGAUGAGGUUGGGUAGCCGGCGGGCGCGGGGUAGGCGGUGGAUGGCUCGCCAGUCUUCCCCGCGGGUGGGUAGCCGGCGGGUGCGGGGUAGGCGGUGGAUGGCUCGCCAGCCUUGCCAGCAGGUGGGUAGCCGGAGGGAGGUGGGUAGGCACCGUCGGCCUUGGCCGCCUGUGGGUACGCGGAUUGCGGCGGGUAUGCGUUACCUGCCGGUGGGUACGCGGACGGAGGCGCGUAGGAGUCGGCCUUGCCGGG